UACAGAGGGUGCGAGCGUUGUCCGGAAUCACUGGGCGUAAAGGGCGCGUAGGCGGCGCGGUAAGCGUGCGGUGAAAGCCCGGGCUCAACCCCGGGUCGGCCGUGCGGACUGCCGGGCUGGAGCACUGUAGAGGCAGGUGGAAUUCCGGGUGUAGCGGUGGAAUGCGUAGAGAUCCGGAAGAACACCGGUGCGAAGGCGGCCUGCUGGGCAGUGGCUGACGCUGAGGCGCGACAGCGUGGGGAGCAACAGG
rnacentral:rRNA from 1 species